CAUACUACACAUCGAUCGGGACCUUAGUCAUGUUGUGAUAUGGACAGCUUUCUUACCAGUACUCAUAAGCCUGCUUCAUUUUUUACGUGGCGGCACCACUGAGUGGUUGACGAAGUCUGGAACGUUUUUUCUUAGAGUUCCAGAAUUGAGACUGAAGUGUACCCAGAGACACAAAGAAAUACAGAAGUCCAGAAUGAUCAAAUGAGAUCACUACCCAAUGAAAUGAUGGGCCGAGGAGCCAGAAGUUGUCCUACUACCUGCUUUCCAGGUCCAGAUUCCACGAGAGCCUUCUGGGCUCCCACCAGAGACCCUCAGUGAAGACUCUGUUGAAGACUUUAAGACCAUGCUAGAAAGCCUCCCGGCAGAGGUUCAGGAAGUUCUGCUAUGAGGAUGCAGCUGGCCCCAGGGAUGUCCUCAGGCAUCUCUAGGACCUUGCUGGACGGUGGUGGCUGAGACCUGAUAUCCACACAAAGGAGCAGACUGUGGAAAUGCUGGUGCAGGAGCAAUUCCAGGCUGUCCUGCCCGAGGAGCUCAGAGCUCAAGCACAGAGAUGUCAGCCUGGAAUCAGAAUCACUGGCUAAGUCUUGCUGCUUGCUUCUUGCUCAGCCUGCAUAUGAGAAGUCAACCAAGCAUUCUCUUGGAUGCAAGAUCCAACUGCACCCAUGGGAAAUCUGAACUUCCACUUUCUUUGAGCUUGUCUUUGGUUGUAAUAAGAAUCCAUCAAAACCCAUGUCUGGAUCUCUCUUUGGCUGAGGCAGCUUUAUUUCCUACAGAAAGAGUUUCUCUGUCCUCUUGUUAGGACAAUCAGCCUGCUGCUUUGGGCUUUUCCAAGAGCCUAUUUUUCAUCUGCUGGAUGCCUCUUUUUUUUUUUUUUUUUUUUUUUGCACUGUGUGACAUGCUUUAAUAUAUAUAUUUUUUAUGUAUCCAAAGAGGUAAUCAACUUUAACUUUCAGAAUUCAUGAAUCUUGGUUUGGUGGCAUGAAUGAAAGGUUAUGUAACCCCACCAGUAACUCAUUUGGGGUGCCCUUGAAAUAUUAAAGUUUGGUCCUCAAUAAAUAUGUGCUGUGGUGAUUAAUCAGGUUAGCGCUUAGUAGUCAGCAAUUGGAGACAGGUGAGAUAAUUAUCAGG
rnacentral:lncRNA from 1 species